rnacentral:rRNA from 1 species
GAUGAACGCUGGCGGCGUGCUUAACACAUGCAAGUCGAACGGAAAGGCUCCUGCUUGCAGGGGUACUCGAGUGGCGAACGGGUGAGUAACACGUGGGUGAUCUGCCCUGCACUUCGGGAUAAGCCUGGGAAACUGGGUCUAAUACCGGAGAGGACGAUUGUUUGGAUGCCAUUGUGGAAAGUUUUUCGGUGUGGGAUGAGCUCGCGGCCUAUCAGCUUGUUGGUGGGGUAAUGGGCUACCAAGGCGUCGACGGGUAGCCGGCCUGAGAGGGUGUACGGCCACAUUGGGACUGAGAUACGGACCAGACUCCUACGGGAGGCAGCAGUGGGGAAUAUUGCACAAUGGGCGCAAGCCUGAUGCAGAGACGCCGCGUGGGGGAUGACGGCCUUCGGGUUGUAAACUCCUUUCGCUAGGGACGAAGCGCAAGUGACGGUACCUGGAGAAGAAGCACCGGCUAACUACGUG